rnacentral:lncRNA from 1 species
CUAGAUCUGUUUCAAUGGCUUUUAAAUAGCCAUUUUACAAUUUUUCUAUUGUUUCUACUGCUGUUUUGUCCUUCUUUGCUUGCGUGUUUGCACGUGGAGCAGGUGGUGACGUGACGUGCGGCGCGGCGCGGCAGUGACAGGAGGUGGCAGAGGGUUGGUGGCUGAAGCUAGGGAUAGGGAGCGGCGGCUAGGUCUUUUUUUUUUUGGCUGAAAAUAGUUUAGGUUUUGGGCUUGUUGGGUAUUUGGGCUUGGUUUAAUUUGUUGGGUUUUGGGUUUGGGUUGUAAUUG